CUGGCCUAGCGUAGACUGNNNNGAAUACUAGCGUGGACUGGCAACCCUGCACGGUCAGCCACUCGACUAGGUCAGAAGNNCACCACGGUAGCGUCGAUGCGCGUCGAAGCGUAUCACCUGCAGAUUNAUACUCUGUAGCUGUGACGUUACCCACAGAAGAAGCACCGGCUAACUCCUGCCAGCAGCCGCGGUAAUACGGGGUGCAAGCGUUAAUCGGAUUUAUUUGGGCGUAAAGCCCGCGUAGGCGGCUUGUUAAGUCGGAUGUGAAAGCCCUGGGCUCAACCCCGGGAACUGCAUUCGAUACUGGCGGGCUAGAGUACGAUAGAGGGUUAGGUAGAAUUCCUAGUGUAGGGGGUGAAAUGCGUAGAUAUUAGGAGGAAUACCGGUGGCGAGGCGGCCACCUGGAUCGAUACUGACGCUGAAGUGCGAAAGCGUGGGAGCAAACAGGUUAGAUACCCUGGGAGUCCACGCCGAAACUAUGUCAACUAGCCGUUGGGAGACUUGCUCUCUUAGUGGCGCAGCUAACGCCGAAAAGUAGACCGCUGGGGGAGUACGGUCGCAAGACUUUAAACUCAAAUGAAUUGACGGGGGCCAAGCACAAGCCUGGAGCAUGUGGAGUUAAUUCGAUGCAACGCGAAGAACCUUACCAGGUCUUGACACCUGCGAACCUUUCACGAGUGAGAGGGUGCCUUCGGGAGCGUAGACAGGUGCUGCAUGGCUGUCGUCAGCUCGUGUCGUGAGAUCCUAGCAUCAAGCUG
rnacentral:rRNA from 1 species